UCUAAAAAUAAAAAGGUAAUAUCCCCGGAGAAACCUUCACUCAUUGACGGCCUCUCUUCUAAUUAGAGGAACUUGUUAUAUCAUCGAAAUUACCCGUUUAUUUUCUCUCUCCUUUAAAGCUUUUAUACCGUCGUCUUAAGUAAAAACUUAAUAGUGUUCUCCGAAACUAAUUUAUUAAACAAGUCAGAUCAAGGUGAAGCCCAUAGGUGAGCACUUAAUGAGUUAUUCAUAAAAAAGAUUUAAGGAAAUUUGCUUAAGCUCUCCAAUGAAUCAAGAUCUAAAAGUACAUUCUUAUUAAAAAUACCAAUGGGAUAAGGAAGGAAAGGUGU
rnacentral:rRNA from 1 species